UCAGAAUGACUGCUUUCCCAGAGUCUAAUCUCCCCCAUCCCGUCCCAAAAAAGGGGAAAAUAGGAGGAGGAGUGGCUCACUGAGGUUCAUCCUACGAGCUUCAAUUCAGGAUAGCGGGUGUCACACUACGUAUAUGCUAUAACACAUCUACACAGCACUUGCAACACAUGAUUUGCACAGUAUGCACUGCUGAUUUACUUGAAGGUUUCAAUGGUGGUCAAUCAUCAAUCAUUCGGAGACACAAAAUUA